ACUUAGAUAGUUUAAUAAAAAUAUCGAUUUGUGGUAUCGGUGAUAUAUAUUGUAGUAUUUUAGGUU
rnacentral:tRNA from 1 species